rnacentral:lncRNA from 1 species
CUCCGGGGACCUCUCCGUUGAGGUAGGCGGGCACCUCCGACCUGUCCAGCAGGCCUUCCGGCAGGAAGAUCCUCCGGUCGGGGCCGUACCACUUGGCGAGCUCGUCGUUGGCGGGGGCGGCCGGCGAGGGCUUGGCCUUCGCCGGGGCGGCCUUCUUCUUGGAGAAGAGGGCGACGACCUUGGUGGCGCCGCCGCCGGAAGGGGCGGGGGCCGAGCGCGAGGGGCCGGCGAAGUUGAGGGGGCUACCCAGCAUCUCCGACACGCCGAGGGAGGCCGGAGCCGCCGCCGCGAGAGAAGCCAUGAGUCCCUCCGCCUCUCGCCGGGAACACCCGCCGCCGCGCCGGAGAACAGAAAGGAAGAGGGAACAGGAUUUGCAGAAGCGAGGUGGCGGUGGGAGGAGGCAGCGGCGGCGAGAAGGGGCCUAAAUGCAGGAUCCCGUGGAUGUGGUGGCGGCAUGGGAAGGC